rnacentral:rRNA from 1 species
CCUACGGGUGGCAGCAGUGGGGAAUAUUGGGCAAUGGAGGAAACUCUGACCCAGCAAUGCCGCGUGAAUGAAGAAGGUCUUCGGAGUGUAAAGUUCUUUAUUCAGGGAAGAAGUCAAUGACGGUACCUGAAGAAUAAGCUCCGGCUAACUACGUGCCAGCAGCCGCGGUAAGACGUAGGGAGCAAGAGUUGUUCGGAAUGACUGGGCGUAAAGGGUGCGUAGGCGGUUGUGCAAGUUAGAAGUGAAAUACCCAGGGCUUAACUCGGGUGCUGCUUCUAAAACUGUAUGACUUGAGUGCAGUAGAGGUUAGUGGAAUUCCUGGUGUAGCGGUGGAAUGCGUAGAUAUUAGGAGGAACACCAGAGGCGAAGGCGGCUAACUGGACUGCAACUGACGCUGAGGCACGAAAGUGUGGGUAGCAAACAGGAUUAGAUACCCCGGUAGUC